CGCAUCAUUCUUUCUCAUUCACGCUUUCAUUCAAGCUUACAAAACCCUAAUUGAUUCAGUUCUGGAUUUCCAACGAGCGAUGAUUGAAGUAGAGAUCUCUAAAGCAAUGGUGUGGUAACUCAAGUGACGGCGACGGCGGUGGUGGUGCAAUCAUUUCGAUUCAACCAACCAUCUGGAAAAAAAAUACCUGAAUCAAAGAAUUGUUUGAAAAUAUUGGAAAGUUGGGGUAAAGUUUGAUUCAAUUGAAAGGCUGAAUCUUGGAAUCCUGAUGGGAAUUUGUAAA